UCCCGAAGUAACCAUGCCCCGAGAGGACC
rnacentral:sRNA from 1 species